CAGUAGCCGCGGGAAUACGGAGGGUGCAAGCGUUAAUCGGAAUUACUGGGCGUAAAGCGCACGCAGGCGGUCUGUCAAGUCGGAUGUGAAAUCCCCGGGCUCAACCUGGGAACUGCAUUCGAAACUGGCAGGCUAGAGUCUUGUAGAGGGGGGUAGAAUUCCAGGUGUAGCGGUGAAAUGCGUAGAGAUCUGGAGGAAUACCGAUGGCGAAGGCAGCCAUCUGGCCUAAUACUGACGCUGAGGUACGAAAGCAUGGGGAGCAAACAGGAUUAGAUACCCGCGUAGUCCCUGUCUCUUAUAC
rnacentral:rRNA from 1 species